CUCCUAGACGUGAUUCUCUUUAGGGUUUUGAAUCAACUACUCUUGAUUCUUCGUGUUCACCAAGAGAUCCGGAUCUCAACGCCGAGAUUGAAUCGUGUUGACCGCCGAUUGUUUCUCCUCUCCGAGAUCUCCAGAGAAAAGGAGACUGGCUCUCACUACAGCUGGUUCGGCUUCUGGGAUUGCAUCAGGUAUUAUCCAGACCUACCUCUUCAGAACAGAUCAUAGAGGAAAGGCGGAGCGAUUGGGCUUAUUCGAAGCUUGUGGUGGUGCUUGACAUCGUUUGGAACGGUUGUUGCCACAGCUGUUUUCGGUUAUGAGAAUUUGUUUAUGAGCUUUUAUGUUCUACAAAACAAUUGGGAAUGGCUCAAGCACGAGCUGCUGAAUUAGAGAAGCAGAUCCUUGCAUUAACAGUUUUGACCAUCCUACAAAUAUAAUCCUUAAUGAAUCUCAUCUCAUGAACGGGUGUUUUCCACAAAGGUUUCAAUGCGGGUUGUUUCUUUGCUAUUGAGACCGUUUUAAGACCUCUACGUGCUGAAAACUCGCCUCCAUUUACCACUGCAGUGAUAACAUUGGCCUAUGUUAUAUCCUCGUCUGUGUCAAAUGCGCUGCUUGGGACUCAAUCAGCUUUCACAGUUCCCUCAUACGACCUGCAGUCCGCUGCAGUAAAAAGCAGUGUGAUAUUUUUUUUUUUUGAAGAUUGUGCAAUUUGCGCAAUGGUUUGGUGAGUCUUCUAUUUAAAGUGUCAACAUACACUCACGACUUCCAUGAGUCUAAAGAGGUUAAAGAGAAGGCCACUCAAUGAGGAAGCUAACGUUGAAGACAUUUCAUCAACUGCACCUUGGACUAAUUAGAGAUGAGUUGAUAUUUUGGGAUUUUAUAACCUAUGAAACUAUUGGUUAGGUUAUUUUUUUGGAUGUGGCCUAUGAUAUUUUGUCUACGUUUAACCUAGAUAACAAUCAAUUGUUAACCGUUUGGUUUAUCGUUUUCUUUAUCUUUGUUAACUGCAUCUUCUGUACCCAUUAUGGAUUUAAAAACAAAAAGAAAUAUUGUAUAUUAUUGUAAAAUAACAUCUUAAGGUAUUUGAUGUAGAGAUGUUUGAGAAAAUGGAUCAAAGGAUGGAGAAAUAGUAGAGAUGUUAGAGAAAAGAAGUGGGUGAGCUUAAUGAAGUGAUAUAUGGGAAAUAAUAUCUACUUAGAAGCUAUAAGGAGUAGAAGAUGGAGCCUUUGCAGAAGAUAAAAAAGUUGCAACAGAGACGAGGGACAGAGAUUUGUUUGGUUGUAAUUAAUAGAAUUUUAGGGUGAAUGUGAGGUUUUAUGUAUAACUAGAUCACUUAGAUACAACUGAGAAAAUUUCAGUAUAAUUUGAACUA